CCGUUGUACACACCGCCCGUCACACCACGAGAGCUGUUUGUACCCAAAGCCAUCUUAGCUAACCCGUAAGGGGGCGGAUGUUUAAGGUAUGAAUAGUGAUUGGGGUG
rnacentral:rRNA from 1 species